UCAAACUUGGUCAUUUAGAGGAAGUAAAAGUCGUAACAAGGUUUCCGUAGGUGAACCUGCGGAAGGAUCAUUAUCGAGUUCUGAAACGGGUUGUAGCUGGCCUUCCGAGGCAUGUGCACGCCCUGCUCAUCCACUCUACACCUGUGCACUUACUGUGGGUAAUGUUCAGGAGCGUCGUUCACGCGACGUUGCUGCGUUGCCUACGUCUUUACUACAUACGCUUCAGUAUCAGAAUGUGUAUUGCGAUGUAACGCAUCUAUAUACAACUUUCAGCAACGGAUCUCUUGGCUCUCGCAUCGAUGAAGAACGCAGC
rnacentral:misc_RNA from 1 species